AUAAAUCAGUCCCAAUAAGUGAUGAAAGAUCGGAAAACAAUUUUGCACACAUUUUAGUACUAUUUUUAUCGCUUUCAAUAUACUUAUUUUUGGUGUUAUUGUUUCAUUUACCCAUAUUAACAAAAUGUACCUACAUUUUCUUAUGUAUAGGUCUUCUAUACAAUGUGAGUAAUAAUAACACUACAAGAAUCAACCGUCGUCAACAGUAGAAAUCCAGUAAAUAACUGUAUAAUUGCGUAUUGCAUUCAAAACACAAAAACCGCGUGCUUCUAAAUUACCUCGUCAGGUCGUCAGUGAGCAAACACAAUUGUGAUGAAACUCGUUCACUCGUACAAUCUCAAUCAACGGAUUGAUUACAAAUGGUUGCAAUCUUUACCUUCUUUAU